rnacentral:rRNA from 1 species
UACGUAGGUGGCAAGCGUUGUCCGGAAUUAUUGGGCGUAAGGGCUCGCAGGCGGUCUUCUAAGUCUGAUGUGAAAUCUUGCGGCUUAACCGUAAGCGGUCAUUGGAAACUGGAGGACUUGAGUACAGAAGAGGAGAGUGGAAUUCCACGUGUAGCGGUGAAAUGCGUAGAGAUGUGGAGGAACACCAGUGGCGAAGGCGGCUCUCUGGGACGGUACUGACGCUGAGACGCGAAAGCGUGGGGAGCGAACAGG